UUCAGCAGCCAUAUCAACCUGUAAGUUACAACUGGCAACCCACUGAAGCUAAGCAGGUGUGAGCGUGGUCAGGACCUGGAUGGGAGACCUGGGAAAAACUAAGGUUGCUGCUGGAA
rnacentral:rRNA from 1 species